AUACGGAGGAUCCGAGCGUUAUCCGGAUUUAUUGGGUUUAAAGGGUGCGCAGGCGGGAGAUUAAGUCGGCGGUGAAAUUUUGCAGCUCAAAUGUAAAAGGGCCUUCGAAACUGGUUUCCUUGAGUGUAGAUGAAGUAGGCGGAAUUUGUGGUGUAGCGGUGAAAUGCAUAGAUAUCACGAGGCACUCCGAUUGCGCAGGCAGCUUACUAAACUACUACUGACGCUCAGGCACGAAGGCGUGGGGAUCAAACAGGAUUAGAUACCCUGGUAGUCCACGCAGUAAACGAUGAUUACUAGCUGUUUGCGAUACAAUGUAAGCGGCUGAGCGAAAGCGUUAAGUAAUCCACCUGGGGAGUACGUUCGCAAGAAUGAAACUCAAAUGAAUUGACGGGG
rnacentral:rRNA from 1 species